GCGAGAUCACACGUUCGCUGGAAAAGUAGACUCGAUCAUAAAACUAGUUGUGUUCUCCCCCCAUCGUCCAGUCGAGAGGAGCUAUGACGACCCGGCACGUGCUCACCCAAUCCGUCGCCUUCCUCGGUACAUAUACACCGUCAUGGUCGUUGCAUUGUCGGUGCUGGUGCCCGAGGGAGUGAUGCUAGUGACGGGCGUCAAGACGCCGGCUAUGGCGGUUCUGUCGGAAAGCAUGGAGCCUGCAAUUAAAAGGGGCGAUAUGGUGUUUGUGCACAACAUGAGCAACGAACCUUUCCGGAGAAACUGCAUAUGGAUACCGGAUGCAUCAUAUGACUUGAAUUUAACUGCAUAUUUUUCUUAAAUUAUUAUAGGUUCACAAGCACCUGGAUACCGGAGAAACUCGAAUACUCACCAAAGGAGACAACAAUUCAGUGGACGAUCGGUUUCUCUAUCCAAUUGGGCAGCUCUGGCUUCAGCCGCAUGACAUUAUUGGACGGUUUGCGGGCUAUCUGCCAUAUGCUGGAUGGCCUAGUGUCUUCAUCAGUGAAGCUUAUAAGAUGUUGCCGAGUGGUGGAAGCACUACAACUCCACAAGUACACUGGGUCACAAUGUAACCAGGGCAGAUUUUUGUGGGUUGAUGUCAAAGUGUCCUGUUCGUAGUCAAGGAAUGCAUCAAGCGCAAGAAUUAUUUCGCAAAAAAAAAGAGAAUGCAUCAAGCGAUCGAGGAGUAUGUAAAACACACAUCAUUAUCAUAAUUUCCACACGGAGUUAAUACAACUCUGUUUGUUUUGUCAAAGUCAAUUUGGUACAUGGUCGACAUGAUUCUAACACCUUCUUUGGAAGGUAUAUUUUGAUGAAACAUGUAGUUGCAUGUAUACUUGUUGAGAAUGGACUGACAUGCAAUUAAGUUUAUCCAUUUUUCAAUUAGAAAAGAAGACU